GCGCCUAUAGCUCAGGUGGAUAGAGCACAGGAUUCCUAAUCCUGGUGCCCCAGGUUCGAGUCCUGGUAGGCGCA
rnacentral:tRNA from 1 species